rnacentral:rRNA from 1 species
UGGUAAUGCCGGAUGCUCCGACUCCUCGCAUGGGGUGUCGGGAAAGAUUUCAUCGGUAUGGGAUGGGGUCGCGUCCUAUCAGGUAGUCGGCGGGGUAACGGCCCACCGAGCCUACGACGGGUAGCCGGCCUGAGAGGGCGACCGGCCACAUUGGGACUGAGAUACGGCCCAGACUCCUACGGGAGGCAGCAGUGGGGAAUAUUGCACAAUGGGCGCAAGCCUGAUGCAGCGACGCCGCGUGCGGGAUGACGGCCUUCGGGUUGUAAACCGCUUUUGAUCGGGAGCAAGCCUUCGGGUGAGUGUACCUUUCGAAUAAGCACCGGCUAACUACGUGCCAGCAGCCGCGGUAAUACGUAGGGUGCAAGCGUUAUCCGGAAUUAUUGGGCGUAAAGGGCUCGUAGGCGGUUCGUCGCGUCCGGUGUGAAAGUCCAUCGCUUAACGGUGGAUCUGCGCCGGGUACGGGCGGGCUGGAGUGCGGUAGGGGAGACUGGAAUUCCCGGUGUAACGGUGGAAUGUGUAGAUAUCGAAAAAAAACACCA